CUUCAUUUCUUUGUUCAUUCUUUCUUCUAAACAUUUAGUUUAGAUGCUUGGCUAGUGGCGUGGUAUUUUGGGUAAGAUCCAAACCUCUAGUGACCCGAUAACGUGACUGAUCCUUCCACCCACCCACUUCCUGGAUCCAAGUAGGAUCACUCUCCUGCUGGCCUCUGGCCUUGCUGUAUCACAGUGAGCAGAGUUUUGAGAUAACCUCUCUCUGUACUAGACUUAGGUGCUGAUUGGGAGUCAGAGAACUGUCAUGCAAUAAAGAGGGCUGAGCGAUUUCUUUUUUCAGCGUCUCGUUAACCAGUGUGCGGGGAUCGGAAGCACAGUUUGUGACUGGUUGGUGAGUUUAACUUCAGUGUUAACCACUAGUUUUGGGAGCAUCUGCUCUCCCUUUUUCAGCCUACCCUGACCCUGGCAUUUUCAGUGAGCACUGCCCCAGGCACACAAGGUCACACUAAGCACUGAAGGUAAAUUAAUAGAAUGUUUGUUUAUGAUCCAGUUUUAUGAAAUCAACUGAACUCCUUUGUUUUCUUUCAUCUGAGCAGGGUUUCCAGUUUCCAAACCUGAUAUAAUCUCCCAGCUGGAACAAGGGGAAGAGCCAUGGGUCCCAGACCUCCAGGGUUCGGCGGAAAGACGGAUCCUGAGAGCUCCCUGCACAGCAGGUGAUGCAAUGGUAUGUGAGAAAGAGGACCAGAAUUCUCAGCAGGGAAAUGUUGAGCAAGUGGCUAAACACAGAGCAUUAUUGCAAAGAAUGAAAAGGAAUGUGUCCAGCAGUCCUGAGCAGGGAAGAUCCUGUGAGAUUCAGCACAGACC